rnacentral:rRNA from 1 species
UUAUAGUUUGAUCCUGGCUCAAGAUGACCGCUGGCGGCGUGCUUAACACAUGCAAGUCGAACGAACCACCUUGGACAGAUUCUUCGGAUGAAGUCCUUAGUGACUGAGUGGCGGACGGGUGAGUAACGCGUGGGUCACCUGCCUCAUACGGGGGGAUAACAGUUAGAAAUGGCUGCUAAUACCGCAUAAGCGCACAGUACCGCAUGGUACGGUGUGAAACACUCCGGCGGUAUGAGAUGGACCCGCGUUGGAUUAGCUAGUUGGCAGGGUAACGGCCUACCAAGGCGACGAUCCAUAGCCGGCCUGAGAGGGUGGACGGCCACAUUGGGACUGAGACACGGCCCAGACUCCUACGGGAGGCAGCAGUGGGGAAUAUUGCACAAUGGGGGAAACCCUGAUGCAGCGACGCCGCGUGAGCGAAGAAGUAUUUCGGUAUGUAAAGCUCUAUCAGCAGGGAAGAAAAUGACGGUACCUGACUAAGAAGCCCCGGCUAACUACGUGCCAGCAGCCGCGGUAAUACGUAGGGGGCAAGCGUUAUCCGGAUUUACUGGGUGUAAAGGGAGCGUAGACGGAAUGGCAAGUCUGAUGUGAAAGGCCGGGGCUCAACCCCGGGACUGCAUUGGAAACUGUCAAUCUAGAGUACCGGAGGGGUAAGUGGAAUUCCUAGUGUAGCGGUGAAAUGCGUAGAUAUUAGGAGGAACACCAGUGGCGAAGGCGGCUUUCUGGACGGUAACUGACGCUGAGGCGCGAAAGCAUGGGGAGCAAACAGGAUUAGAUACCCUGGUAGUCCAUGCCGUAAACGAUGGAUAUUAGGGUAGGAGGUAUCGACCCCUUCUGUGCCGGAGUAAACACAAUAAGUAUCCCACCUGGGGAGUACGACCGCAAGGUUGAAACUCAAAGGAAUUGACGGGGGCCCGCACAAGCAGUGGAGUAUGUGGUUUAAUUCGAAGCAACGCGAAGAACCUUACCAGGGCUUGACAUCCCACGCAUAGUCUAGAGAUAGAUGAAAUCCUACGGGACGUGGAGACAGGUGGUGCAUGGUUGUCGUCAGCUCGUGUCGUGAGAUGUUGGGUUAAGUCCCGCAACGAGCGCAACCCCUAUUGCCAGUUACUAACAGUAAGAUGAGGACUCUGGCGAGACUGCCGGUGACAAAUCGGAGGAAGGUGGGGAUGACGUCAAAUCAUCAUGCCCCUUAUGUCCUGGGCUACACACGUACUACAAUGGCCGACAACAAAGUGAAGCGAAGCCGCGAGGCAGAGCGAAUCACAAAACUCGGUCCCAGUUCAGAUUGCAGGCUGAAACUCGCCUGUAUGAAGUCGGAAUUGCUAGUAAUCGCGGAUCAGCAUGCCGCGGUGAAUACGUUCCCGGGCCUUGUACA